GACAAAUUGGAUGGGCAACAGACUCUCAGGUCAGAGUGUAAUCAAAUUUGAACUCUGUGUGAGGCGACUGACGCGGGAUUAAGUCAGGACAGGAUAAAACUUGUCACGAGUUCUACUCUGAUAAGAAUGGGAAUGUCGCUUUUGUUGGUUUAGCAGCGCUUUUUGAUGCCAGGGCUUCCGACUCCCAGUGAACACGCCGGCGGGAGCACUUUUCCAAACAUUAGGCACGUUCAGGUACAUUACGCAACUGAUUAAACAUGAACUAAAUCAUAUUUUGUAUGAGCGUGGAAGUUCGCGCUGUAGUAACCUUACUUAAACGUGUGGCUAAAGUUGGGUGAGGAUUAUGAACAUCCCUUCUACUUGACCAAUUACCUUUAACCAUCUUCACCUGUGCGCGCUCCCCCGUUGCAUGAGAAAGGUAAGCGAAAGCUUCGUUUUGUUAUUGAUUUUGCGCGAGAGCAUUUUUCUGGUCAUGCCGUUUUUACCAAGCGAUAGUUCUUUGUAUUGUUUUUCUCAAUUUAACUCUUACAUUGUGCUUUGGCUUUCAGCCGUCAUUCACCUUCCGGUCCACAACCCCCCACUCUGGUUUCGGCCGUAGCCCCCGGUCGAUCUGUCAUCCAGCCAUUAAAUAUUACCGCUAUAACUCGUCUGUCUGGACCUCUGCAUUGUGCGACUCGUUUAAGUGCCCACUCUGAAAUAAUUAAUCUGAUGCCCUUCAUCUAGUGCUUGUCUCCGUUUCAGAUGGAGCGCCUGCUUUUAUUUUGUAAACUGUUGUAAAUAGAUUGUGUCCAGAGUCAAAUGCCUGCAUCCCACAGUUCAGCAGGAGACUUCAACAUGCCUCUUCUUCCCUCCGCCACCUCAUCAGUUCAGCAUCAGGUGCCGCAUCAUUAGGGGUUUAUCAUCUGGAGGACGCCCUUGAGGACCAGUGUUGCCCACCUGUGACUUCAAUCGUCUGACAAAGCUCCUCCAGCCUUCACGGCGCCUUCUCCGCCACCAGAUGGCGCAAUUGCGCCGCCCCACGUCUUUCCGCCUGCUCCUGUUGAGCACAUUCCAGUACUGGAUCUUUAUAAGCUGGACACAGGACGGCUUUGGGGUCACUGACGUAGGUGUGUGUGUGUCUUCAGUUUCCCUGCAGAGUCCGGCCUUUGGGGUGGAGCCGUCCCUGACUGUGUCAGAGCGUCCCCUAAUCUUCGCCGACAGCAGCGCUGCUGCCAAGCACAACAAACACCUGAUGCCUCCGCUACAGCUACCUGUCGGGCCGCCUGCCUGCCUGCGGAGGCUCAGACAUGCUCCUCUCACCUCAACAACCAUCAAUGCGCAAUGACAGAUGAGCAGGGAGGUUGCUACUCUUUCAUUCCUGUGCACACAGCGCCGGCUUAGGUUCCUGCAGCCAGACGGAGGAACGGAGCCAGGCCGAUAAGGACGCAGAGGAGGGACCGUGAUGUACAGCUGCAUCCACCAGAUAAAAGCGUUUGAUGCGUACAUGCAGAGAUGCUGAAUGUGAGCUGCUGUGAGAGUGAUCGUCUCAUUAUAAGUGAUGGUGUCAGAGCUCUCCCCAAAUGGUUCAGCUGCACUCAGCUCCUUCACCUCAACCCCUUCUGGAAACGCUCACACUUAGACGUGAGCGUGAAAUACACCACACUGUACUAUGAAGCAAAAAGCAAAUGCAUCCACUAUAAGAUUGAAGGUCACAACAAAUCACAGUGAAUUAAACUUUGUUUCUCUGUUAGUUGCCUGUGUGCUGGAUGUGGUUUUAAAACACAUGCAAGUGGAAAUCCAAAAAGAAGUCACUGCACUUUGAAACCAAAAGCAAAUCAUGCAUCAACUCCACCCAAACACAGCAGAGGAACUGAACUAGUUUGCAAACCUCUACGCAAUCUAAAGUCCAAACAACCACCAGGACCUGCUAGAACCCCUUCUACGCUGCAGUCCAGACCAGAAUCUGAGGCGUCCACUACUGUCAGACCCGCACUGAUCUAGAAGCAGAGCACCUACUGCGUGAAACCCCAGAGAGAAAGAGAGCACCCGCGGGGACUAGGCUAGAGGUCAG